CCGCCGAUGGUGACCAGGAUGUCGCGGGCGCCGUUCUCGACGGCGUCGGCGAUCAGCUCGCCGGUUCCGGCGGUGUCGGCGCGC
rnacentral:tRNA from 1 species